UCAAGAGAUGUCGAGGGUGGGCUCGUAAACGGUGGGUCGUAGGUGACCAUGAGGUUCCAUCAUCUGCCCCAGAAGUCUUGGAGUGAGGUGGAGAGGUAGGGCUCGUUGAAUUGGCCAUCAAUAUGUGAUUUUUGAUUUUUGGGGACCAUUUUGGUGAUUUGCAGGCAAGCAACAGCAACAAAGCGACCAAGAGAGAUUGAUGGGUCAGAAGACAAAGGUCCUUUACCAAAAGCCAAGAGGAAGAGCUUGAAGUUGGCAAGCCAAGAAAUGAAAAACGAUGUAACGCCCACAAGAUCAUGGAGGAGAGAAAGAGAGGAGGGUAGAGAAAGAGACACACAAUUGGAAGCAAACAAAGGAGUCUUGUGCAACCUUUGGGGACUAACUUGGCAGUGGCAAAGCAGUAACAUAGACAAAGAUAGACUGAGAGCCAUA